GGGGAAUAUUGCACAAUGGGCGAAAGCCUGAUGCAGCAACGCCGCGUGAGUGAUGAAGGCCUUCGGGUUGUAAAGCUCUGUCUUCUGGGACGAUAAUGACGGUACCAGAGGAGGAAGCCACGGCUAACUACGUGCCAGCAGCCGCGGUAAUACGUAGGUGGCAAGCGUUGUACGGAUUUACUGGGCGUAAAGGAUGCGUAGGCGGAUACUUAAGUCAGAUGUGAAAAUCCCGGGCUUAACUUGGGAACUGCAUUUGAAACUGGGUAUCUAGAGUGCGGGAGAGGAAAGUGGAAUUCCUAGUGUAGCGGUGAAAUGCGUAGAGAUUAGGAAGAACACCAGUGGCGAAGGCGACUUUCUGGACCGUAACUGACGCUGAGGCAUGAAAGCGUGGGGAGCAAACA
rnacentral:rRNA from 1 species